GUGAGGGACGAAAGCUGAGGGAGCAAUCCGGAUUAGAUGCCCGAGUAGUCUCAGCUGUAAACGCUGUGAGCUAGGUGUCACAUAUUCUUCGGGAAUAUGUGGUGUCGAAAUGAAGAUGAUAAGCUCACCGCCUGGGAAGUAUGGUCGCAAGGCUGAAACUUAAAGGAAUUGGCGGGGGAGCACCACAAGAGGUGCGGCGUGCGGUUUAAUCUAAUUCAACACAGAGCAUCUCACCAGCAGCGACGGCAGGAUGAAGGUCAGCCUGAAGGGUUUACCUGACGAGCCGAGAGGUAGUGCAUGGCCGUCGUCAGCUCGUACCGUAAGGUGUCUUGUUAAGUCAAGCAACGAGCGAGACCUGUACCUACAAUUGCUAACAACUCUUUUAAGAGAUUUGAGCACAUUGUAGGAACUGCUCUGGAAACAGAGAGGAAGGUGCAGGCAACGAUAGGUCUGUAUGCUCCGAAUCUGCUGGGCUACACGCGCGCAACAAUGGUAAGGACAAUGUGAUGCAACUCUGAAAAGAGAAGCUAAUCCUCGAAACCUUAUCUUAGUCUAGAUUGAGGAUUGUAACUCAUCCUCAUGACAUUGGAAUCUCUAGUAAUC
rnacentral:rRNA from 1 species